UUGCAUGCAGGAUGCAGCAGCGUGUAGUGUGCUCAAUCCAUAUAUCCUAAGAUCAAGUUGCAACCCGAAUGUUUGUUGUCUUCAGAAUUCGAUCUCUAUAUAAGUGCAGUCUGUACUCACUUCGUUCCUCACCCAUUCCCUAAACAAGAUCGACAUAUAUACUUCAUAUCGAUCAUUCAAUAGGAAAUUAGGAAUAACAAAUACGCCUGCAUGGAUCAGUUUCGUCUUCUCUGCCUGUUUUCACUUAUCUAUGUAAGUCCUAAUUAGUUAAUUUGCAAAUUACGAACUUCUUCUAUAUAUCUAUAGUCUUUGACAUGUGAUUUUUAUUUAGGGGCACGUACGCUAGCUUCACUCACUCUAUACCUAAAUGAAUGUAUAGAAAUGUGGGAUCCGUUUCAUCUUCUUUGCAAAUUCCUCAUUUCAUUAUUUGCUAUAUAUGCAGACAUGCAAUUUUAUACAAGAUAUAUAAGUUUGUUUACAAAAAUUUCUCACGACCUAUGAAGCCAACCAUUUUACUUUCAUAGGGUUGCACUCACUCUAUUAGAAUGCUAGACAUCUAUAUAUACUUUUAGACAAAGAAUAAUGAAAACUAAAUGUCGCUAAAUCAAUUUUAAUGGUGUUAAUUAGUGGUGAGAUAUCAAUUAAAAUGCCUUUGAAUUGUAAUGCAUCGAUGGAUUAAUUUUGCCUUUUUUACCUAUAACAAAACCUGACUUGCGUACAUAACUACGUACAUAUCUGUAUACGAUAUUGAGUCAAGGAAAUUAACUUAAUUUUGUGGCAUGCACACAGGUGGCAUCAGUAGUGGUGGGAUUUGGGUAUGCUAAUAAGGUCGAUGAUGGCAAGUCACUACUAGGAAAUCGAUCAAUAGACAUAGACGUUUUUCGUCCCUAUUAGGGGUCAUUGGGCACGAAAUCUAUGCCUAUUGACUGAUAGGGACGAAUUUUCUGUAUGUAUCCCCCUGUAUCAUCUCCAAAUUGGUUUUUUAUCAUUAGAGGACGGAUAUCCCUGUCCGUCCCACCCUGAGCACCAUAACUCACGCGCUCUCUUUUUCCCUUUCUGACAGUAACAGUACUCCCUGUUUUUUAUAUAGUAUAAUAAUCUGAUCUGUUGUUAUUCAUCCGUA
rnacentral:lncRNA from 1 species